GAUGAACGCUGGCGGCGUGCUUAACACAUGCAAGUCGAACGAUGAAGCCCAGCUUGCUGGGUGGAUUAGUGGCGAACGGGUGAGUAACACGUGAGUAACCUGCCCUUAACUCUGGGAUAAGCCUGGGAAACUGGGUCUAAUACCGGAGAGGAGCGUCCACCGCAUGGUGGGUGUUGGAAAGAGUUAUCGGUUUUGGAUGGACUCGCGGCCUAUCAGCUUGUUGGUGAGGUAAUGGCUCACCAAGGCGACGACGGGUAGCCGGCCUGAGAGGGUGACCGGCCACACUGGGACUGAGACACGGCCCAGACUCCUACGGGAGGCAGCAGUGGGGAAUAUUGCACAAUGGGCGGAAGCCUGAUGCAGCGACGCCGCGUGAGGGAUGACGGCCUUCGGGUUGUAAACCUCUUUCAGUAGGGAAGAAGCGAAAGUGACGGUACCUGCAGAAGAAGCACCGGCUAACUACGUG
rnacentral:rRNA from 1 species